GUUUUUAUGUAANAUAAUAUAAAAUCUGACCUGCCCAAUGAUUAAUAAUUGAAUGGCCGCGGUAUGAUGACUGUGCUAAGGUAGCAUAAUCAAUAGUCUAUUAAUUGUAGUCUGGAAUGAAUGGUUCGACGGGAAGAGACUUUUUAUAUUAUAAAAUUGAAAUUUAAAAAUUAGUAAAAAUGCUAAUGUGCUUUAGAGGGACGAGAAGACCCUGUUAAAUUUAAUUUUGUAAGUUGUUAAUUUUUGGUAAAGUUGGCAAUUAUUAAUUAAUUUGGUUGGGGCAAUUAAAAACAUUAAAUGUUUUAUAUUAUAAUCUAUUUAUUAGUUAUUUGAUCCAUAAUUUAUGAUCAUUAGAAUAAAUUACUACAGGGAUAACAGCGUAAUUUCUUUGUAGAGUUCUUAUCGAUGAUGAAGUUUGCGACCUCGAUGUUGAAUUAGGAUUCUCUUUAGGUGUAGAGGCUUAUGAUGAGUGGUCUGUUCGACCAUUAAAAUCCUACA
rnacentral:rRNA from 1 species